UUAACUCAUAUUUGUAUGGAAUGGGAUCAUUUACCUAUGUUUGCCGCUAGGGGCGCUGUUCCAACUGCAUACAAAAUUGGGCUA
rnacentral:pre_miRNA from 1 species